UACGUAGGGUGCAAGCGUUGUCCGGAAUUAUUGGGCGUAAAAAGCUCGUAGGCGGUUCGUCGCGUCGGCUGUGAAAACCCGGAGCUCAACUCCGGGCCUGCAGUCGAUACGGGCGGACUUGAGUGUUGCAGGGGAGACUGGAAUUCCUGGUGUAGCGGUGAAAUGCGCAGAUAUCAGGAGGAACACCGGUGGCGAAGGCGGGUCUCUGGGCAACUACUGACGCUGAGGAGCGAAAGCGUGGGGAGCGAACAGG
rnacentral:rRNA from 1 species